rnacentral:rRNA from 1 species
CGUACACUCCUGCGGGAGGCAGCAGUGGGGAAUAUUGGACAAUGGGCGCAAGCCUGAUCCAGCCAUGCCGCGUGAGUGAUGAAGGCCCUAGGGUUGUAAAGCUCUUUCACCGGUGAAGAUAAUGACGGUAACCGGAGAAGAAGCCCCGGCUAACUUCGUGCCAGCAGCCGCGGUAAUACGAAGGGGGCUAGCGUUGUUCGGAUUUACUGGGCGUAAAGCGCACGUAGGCGGACUAUUAAGUCAGGGGUGAAAUCCCGGGGCUCAACCCCGGAACUGCCUUUGAUACUGGUAGUCUUGAGUUCGAGAGAGGUGAGUGGAAUUCCGAGUGUAGAGGUGAAAUUCGUAGAUAUUCGGAGGAACACCAGUGGCGAAGGCGGCUCACUGGCUCGAUACUGACGCUGAGGUGCGAAAGCGUGGGGAGCAAACAGGAUUAGAAACCCUUGUAGUCCCAUGA